rnacentral:rRNA from 1 species
UACAGAGGUCUCAAGCGUUGUUCGGAUUCAUUGGGCGUAAAGGGUGCGUAGGCGGCGCGGUAAGUCGGAUGUGAAAUCUUGGAGCUUAACUCCGAAACUGCAUUCGAUACUGCCGUGCUUGAGGACUGGAGAGGAGACUGGAAUUUACGGUGUAGCGGUGAAAUGCGUAGAUAUCGUAAGGAAGACCAGUGGCGAAGGCGGGUCUCUGGACAGUUCCUGACGCUGAAGCACGAAGACCAGGGGAGCGAACGGG